CGGUAAUGAUGAAAUUCCACCUCAUUGGUCCGUGUUUCUGAGCCACAUGAUUUGUUCUGGAAGUUCUGACACU